rnacentral:rRNA from 1 species
AUUGAACGCUGGCGGCAGGCCUAACACAUGCAAGUCGAACGAGUGGCGGACGGGUGAGUAAUGCUUGGGAAUCUAGCUUAUGGAGGGGGUUAACUACGGGAAACUGUAGCUAAUACCGCGUACCAUAGGAUCAGCCCAAGUGGGAUUAGGUAGUUGGUGAGGUAAAGGCUCACCAAGCCGACGAUCUCUAGCUGGUCUGAGAGGAUGACCAGCCACACUGGGACUGAGACACGGCCCAGACUCCUACGGGAGGCAGCAGUGGGGAAUAUGGCGCAAUGGGGGAAACCUGAUGCAGCCAUGCCGCGUGAAUGAAGAAGGCCUUCGGGUUGUAAAGUUCUUUCGGUAGCGAGGCGUUACCUACAGAAGAAGCACCGGCUAACUCCGUGCCAGCAGCCGCGGUAAUUC